AACUUCAGGACUCAAACAAAGCUCCUGCUACCUAAGGCUGUGGUAAUCCCAGCUCUUCUCUAUGGCUGUGAAGCUUGGGUGGCCUACAGGGACCACCUGAAAAUCCUGGAACACCAUCACCAGUGCUACCUACAGAAGACCCUUGGCAUAAAAUGGGAGGAUCAUCGUACAAAUGUCAGGCCCUUAUGGAAGCA